rnacentral:lncRNA from 1 species
CAAACCUAAGACAAGAAUUUUGGGACAGAGGGAGUACUAAACAUACCCAUAGCUCCUUUCAGAUAUUGAGUAAAAUCCCAAGUUCCUUAUUUUUCCUUGAGAUUUUGAUAACCAAAUUCAGAUUUUCCAGAUCAAGACAUGGCUUUGAUCUUAGAACAGUAGAUGUCUAGUAUAGAAAAGUCAAACCAACAAAGUAUAACAGGAAGGCAAAG